CGUAAUACAGCGAAUGUAGUUGUAGGCAAAUAAACAAAAUUGUCAAGCAAAAAAAAAUGUAAUUGUGGAUUGCUACGAUUUUUUGCUGGAACUUGUUAAUAAUUUUGUUUAAAAUAUUUUCUUCUGUUUGCUAAUUGAUGAACCUUUUUAAAUAAAACAAAACCAUUCAUUAUGAUAACGGAGGCUGAAAAUAAAAAUACGUACAGUCGCUGAGCAAACACAUUGAUUCUGUCUGCAGACUCUGUAUAUUUUGUAACAAAAAAUCCCCUAAUUACAGUGUUUAGUCCCACGUCACCAUUUCAUACAACCCUAGGGCUGUAUACCUUGU